CUGCGCACCGCCGCCUUGUCCAGCCAGCAACCCCGCAACUGGAGCGACCCCGGGCAGAAGUAAAGGCGGCCUUUCCGGCAGUCGCCGCUGGAGGACCCAAAGUUUUGCACGCUGCAUGCCCCUUCCUCCCGGGGGUCCAGUCACCCAUCGUGCGAAGUCGCCGGGGGAUACCAGGGGCUUAGUGGGAACCAGAUCGGCUGUUCUGCACCCCUCCACCCCUACCCCCCAGGACAGGGCGGGGACUCUGGCGAGUGCACCUCCCACUACCAUACCACCCUGUCUCUUCUCUUGGUGAGCCUUGGAACCCGGUCGCUGCACAGAUGCCUUCGGGAGCCAGAAGCAAAGAGGAAAAUGGACAUGGCUCAGACAAGCAGGUGGUCUUAAUCUACAGCUCAAGACGGCCUGGAAUUCACUAAGUGACCCCUGGUUGGCCUUGAAUGUGUAGAAAUCCUCUUGGUGGGAUUGCAGAACUGGGGACUGAACCCAGGGGCCACACACAUUCUGAGCAAACUCUCUGCCGCUGAGCCACAGCUCCAGCUUCUGUGUGUUUGCUGGGUCUCACUGCCCAGGCUGACCUUGCACUGUGUAAGACAGGGCUUGAAACUGUAAUCCUCCUGCCUCAGCCUCCCAAGGGCUGGGAUUACAGAUGAGCGCCAAUAAGUCUAGCUAAUUAUAUAUGUUAUGGGGGAGGGGAUUCAAGACAGGGUUUCUCUGUUUAGUCUAGCUGUCCUGGAACUUGCUCUAUAGACCAGGCAGGUCUCAAACUUGUGCUGGGAUUAAAGGUGUGUGCCACCACCACCCAACCUACUUAAAUACUUUUUUAGAGGACCACAUUUUUAACAAAAGUAACCUGUGGAAUUGUCAGCAUCUUGCCUGAUGUGUUCAAACCCUAGAGCUCCAUUCUCAAAUAUCAGAGCCCAAGCAUCAUGGCCGGGUGAGGCUUAGUUUUUGUUCCUAGUUCAGUGGGUCAAUAACUCCCUCUGAAAGCAUUUAGUCACUUUGCAAGCACACAGAGAAGUCACUGCAAGUAAGAAUGGGUUGUAUACAUUCUUUUCCUCUACCAAAAAGCUGUGUGCCUCCCUUAGAGAGGGCCAGCAUGCGAGCUGCUGAAAGGACUAGCUUGUGUGGGGUUUUUUGGUUUUUGGUUUUUGGCUUUUUUGUUUUUUUGGUUUUUUUCAAGACAGGGUUUCUUUGUGUAGCUUUGGAGCCUUUCCUGGAACUCACAGAGAUCUGCCUGCCUCUGUGUCCCGAGUGCUGGGAUUAAAGUCAUGCACUACCACUGCCCGGAACUUGUGUGAGUUUUAUGCAGAGUGAAUCAUGUUGUGCAUUGAUGAGCUUUAUAGAGGCUUUGAUAUGCUCUCAAAAGGACCCGCAGCAAUAACCCAAGUCACAAAUAGCCUCAGCUUACUGUAGCUCCCCAAGUGACAUAGUAUCUCUGGGUCUCAUGGCAAUUUCUGCACCACAGAAAUGGAUAGGUGGGGCAUAUGCAUAACCAGUUCCAGUCAGUUCUGUUAGAAUCAAACUUGCAUAUGGACUCUGGGGAACCAUGCAUGGGCCUCUAAUAAGACCCUUCUUUGCGUCCCACUCACUCCUUGGGCCUCCCCUAGGCACAAGAAGAAAGGAGACUCCUUCCCACCUACAAAUCCUGUGACAAUCUGCUGGCCAGCCAAAGACACCAUCCCAUUCUAUCAGCCCCUUCUUCCUGCAUGGGGAGGAGUGGAUAUGAAACCAAGGCAAUCCAGCUCUGGGCUACCUGCCUCUGUCCUCAGCUUUCAGAGUGCUCCCAGCUGUUGUGGGGCAGAGACCCCAGGCUGGGGUGAAAAGCACCCCUAUCGACCUCAGGGAACCCAGGCCUAGGACCAGAGACCAGGAUCCUCUCGGUGCUGCUGGAUGAGAGAUUAUAGAGACAAGGAAAGUGGCCUAGAGGACUUGCAUGUUCCUAUCAGCAGGGAGCCAGGUCCAGAAGCAACUGUGCAGUCAGCAGGUGAUGGAAGGGCUUUCUGUGCCCUGUGCCCUCUCUCCUACACUGACCCUCUCUCCUGCACUGGCCCUCUCUCUCUCUCUCUCUCCUGCACGGACCCUCUCUCUCUCCUGCACGGACCCUCUCUCUCUCUCCUGCACGGACCCUCUCUCUCUCCCCUGCACUGACCCUCUCUCCUGCACGGACCCUCUCUCUCUCUCCUGCACGGACCCUCUCUCUCUCCUGCACGGACCCUCUCUCUCUCUCCUGCACGGACCCUCUCCCUCUCCUGCACGGACCCUCUCUCUCUCCCCUGCACUGACCCUCUCUCCUGCAUUGACUCUCUCUCCUGCAUGGCCCCUCUCUCUCUCCUGCACUGACCCUCUCUCUCUUCUGCACUGACCCUCUCUCCUGCACGGACCCUCUCUCCUGAAGGGUAUUGUUUGGGAGAAAAGGCUAAUUUCAGCAUCUCUCUCCCCAUCUUCCUAUUUGGAAUCAUGGAAGAGAAAGGAGUGACCAGGCUGCAGCCCAGCCUGCUUAGACUCCCAGACAGCAAGAUCGGACUGCAUGCUCUGCAGCAGGGGGAUGACCCUGUAAGCCUUCUUGCUCCUGCCACUCAUCAGAGCCCACGGGAGGUGCUGGCCGCAUGUGGCUGCCUCUAGUAUGAAACUUCCUAUGGUUUCUGAAGGGUGAGGCCGUGGGUAGCCAGCUACAUAGAGGGAACAGGAGCCCUGAAUGUUUUUCUUUUUGAGGUUGGAGCUAGGGGAAAGGCAGACAGCAGCCCCUGCUCCGCACACUCAGUCUCUUCUAUGAGACUGGCCCUGCCAGAGAGAGGCACACAGAAGUUCAAAACACAUGUCUUCAUCCUGCAAAGGGAUUUCCAGAGCUAGCAGUGGCAUCUCUGGUGGCCUGAAGACAUCAGGUGCAGUCAAUUAGCCCUAUGAACAUUGAAUGUUACAUUACACAACGAAGUCUUUGCAGGGUGAUUCAGCUAAUGUUCUCCUGGGUUAGCUCCUUAGGCACUAAAUGGGAUCCUGUGUACCCAGUGGAAGAGAGAGGCCCAGGUGGAUUUUAUAACGGCACAUGCACAGGACAAGGGUGAUGUAAAAAUGACACACAGAAACACCUGAAGUUGCUGGUGCUGGGAGGUAGCCACAGCACAGGAGCUCUAACAAAUGGCAAAAGCUGCAGAGCUGUGGCCAGGUUUGCUUCUAGACCUGCGGUGGCAGUGUGGCCUUGAUUUUGCCCAGUUUAAAAAAAAAUGUUGGCCUUCUGACUCCAGAACUGUUAGAGAAUAUAAGCCGAUGCCUUUCUUUGUGCCUCCAGGUUCAUGGUCAUUUGUUACAGUAACCCCAGGGCCAGCCUUGUAAGUGAAGUGGAAGCCUGAGUCUAAAGACAACUCAGGCACUACCACAUUGGUGAUAUUUACUUCUUGGAACCAUUGUGAGAAUUAAGGAGUUGCAUGAAAAUGGAAGAGACUAUCUGAAAUACAAAACCACUGGAGAAUGGAUGUCCAGAAUGAAAACCGAGAAGAACCUCUUACCAAGCAGAAAGUAAAAGGCCAAACCGCAAAAGAAACAGGCAGAAAACCCGACCGUAUGGCGGAAGAGGCGUUAACACAGACUCAUCAGUGGAGGAAAAUACAGAGCAGUUCACCUGUACCACCUGUACAACACCUAACAAAAGAGGCAAAAAUAGGGAUGAACAUGAAAGGUAACUCAUAUCAAUAACUUAUUAACUUAAGAGUAUUUAAAAUUAAUUCAGCAGCCAGAAAUUGAAGCAAUAGCUAAAUAUAGACCCAUGUCCAUCAGCUUUGCAAGAUCUGAUGAUCCCAAUGCGGGGGGUCCACAAUGGAGAGUGAGGUGCUGCUGAUGGAAUGGAGGUCUGUUAGACCACUGGCAAGCAUCUUGGCAUCAUCUAAUAACACCGAAAAAUGCACAUUCCACAUUGUUUGGACUGAGUGUCUAAGGGGAACUUCUCACGUAUGACUAAAUAAAUGGCCUGCCUCUGACUUUACUGAGGGUGGUGGCCUCAAGCGGAAUCAAGAUAAAUAUCUAUUAACCAUAGGACAAAUAAAUAUGUCGCGAUACAGCACGCACCCCAUGGAGUGCUACAUAGCACUGUGCAGUGAGAACAAAACCAUGUAGCUCAGCCAGGCGGUGGUGGCGCACGCCUUUAAUCCCAGCACUCGGGAGGCAGAGCCAGGCGGAUCUCUGUGAGUUCGAGGCCAGCCUGGGCUACCAAGUGAGUUCCAGGAAAAGGCGCAAAGCUACACAGAGAAACCCUGUCUCGAAAAACCA